UACGUAGGGGGCAAGCGUUGUCCGGAUUUAUUGGGCGUAAAGAGCGUGUAGGCGGUUUGGUAGGUCCGCUGUGAAAACUCGAGGCUCAACCUCGAGACGCCGAUGGAAACCAUUUGGCUAGAGUCCGGAAGAGGAGAGUGGAAUUCCUGGUGUAGCGGUGAAAUGCGCAGAUAUCAGGAGGAACACCGGUGGCGAAGGCGGGUCUCUGGGCAACAACUGACGCUGAGGAGCGAAAGCGUGGGGAGCGAACAGG
rnacentral:rRNA from 1 species